GCUGGGAGUGGAAGUACAGUGAUGUAUGGAGCGGACCAGUACUAAUCAAUCGAGGACUUAACCAAAA
rnacentral:rRNA from 1 species